UUUCGGCAGAAUCCUUGCGCGCGAUAACGCGUCAAAAUCAACCAAAGGAUCUCUAACAUUUCCAAUAAAUUAUUUGUCUGAUAGCUGACAAAUUGCACUGGAGCUUGAUCCUUUCUGGGACCGAGAAAGGGAUUCAUAUAUUGGGGGAGUCGGGGCGUUUUUGAGGUUUAUAGAUCUACUGGAGUAGCUGUUUUCUUUGAAGUUUUGAACCAUGGCAAAGAACAACAGCCUCCAUCCAAACAGCAAUGGAGAGACUGACGACUCCCCGAACAUGCUGGUUUACAGAAAGAUGGAGGAUGUUAUUGCCAGGAUGCAGGAUGAAAAAUAUGGCAUACCUAUUCGUACAGUGAAGAGUUUCCUAUCAAAGAUUCCCAGUGUCUUCUCUGGUUCAGACAUUGUUCAGUGGCUGCUGAAGAAUCUGGGUAUCGAAGACCAAGUUGAGGCUCUUCAUGUGGGCACAUUGAUGGCAGCUCAUGGCUAUUUCUUCCCCAUCUCCGACCAUGUGCUCACUCUUAAAGACGAUGGCACAUUCUACAGAUUUCAGACGCCGUAUUUCUGGCCCUCAAACUGCUGGGAACCCGAGAACACUGACUAUGCUGUGUACUUGUGCAAAAGAACAAUGCAGAACAAAGCACGUCUAGAACUGGCUGAUUACGAAGCUGAGAGUUUAGCACGACUACAGCGGGCGUUCGCAAGAAAAUGGGAGUUCAUAUUUAUGCAAGCAGAGGCUCAAGCAAAAGUUGAUAAGAAAAGAGACAAAAUUGAGAGGAAAAUACUGGACAGUCAGGAGAGAGCCUUCUGGGAUGUGCACAGACCAGUGCCAGGGUGUGUGAAUACAACAGAGGUGGACAUAAAGAAAUCAUCCAGAAUGAAGAACCCACACAAAACAAGAAAGUCUGUAUACGGCCUUCAGAAUGACAUUCGCAGCCAUAGCCCCACCCACAUGCCAGUCCCUGAGGCCAAGCAACCAUCCGAGGAAGAGCUUCAAGAGCAGAUCAAGUUUUGGCAAUUACAGUUAGACAGACAUCGAUUGAAAAUGUCCAAAGUUGCAGAGAGUUUGCUGAGUUACACUGAACAGUAUUCAGACUAUGACCCCUUCCUGUCCACUCCUGACCCAUCUAACCCCUGGAUAUCAGAUGACACAACAUUCUGGGAGCUGGAGACCAGUAAGGAGCCUGGUCAGACUAGAGUUCGACGCUGGGGUUUUGGAAUCAAUGAGGUCUUGAAAGAUCCUGUUGGGAGAGAGCAGUUCCUCAAGUUCCUGGAGUCUGAAUUCAGUUCGGAAAACCUCAGGUUCUGGUUGGCAGUGCAGGAGUUAAAGAGGAGGCCGAUUCGAGAGGUGCCAACACGGGUACAGGAGAUCUGGGAGGAGUUCUUGGCUCCUGGAGCCCCCAGUGCCAUCAACGUGGACUCAAAGAGCUACGACAAAACCACACAGAAUGUCAAAGACCCAGGACGAUACGCUUUUGAGGACGCACAGGAGCACAUCUACAAGUUGAUGAAGAGUGACUCUUACAGUCGUUUCAUUAGAUCCAGUGCCUACCAGGAACUUCUGCAGGCUAAAAAAAAGAAAAGUAAGAACUUGUUUUGAAGGAAGGAAAUGCUUCCAGAGAUGUUAAGCAGAAUGUUCAAGCUCCUCCUUUCCAUACAGGGGAAAACUCUGAUAUCUAAGAGGCUGCCUGCUGUCAUCCAAUCUUACUGAGCUUCAAAACAAUCAACUGAGGAUGAGGACGCUGUCAUUUUCAUCUCUGUCAUUUGAUUGGUCCAGAUCCCAGAUACCCAGGAAAUGGACCAAAAUACAUGCAUGUCCAAGAGACUGAUUUAUUUUUUACAUCAGUUUCUACUUGCUACCUGCUAGAUUCAGUCUGUCAGACAGUUAGACAUUAUGGACUUCUAAUAUUUGAGAAACGCAGCAAUGUCUUUCAAAAGAGGAAAAUGAUGUUCAGGUCUUCUCCUUUCCUCUUCUGUCUGUCUGGACUAUGUCUCCAGUUGUAGACUGAUCUAAAUGAUGUCAAAACCAGAAAAUAUAAAGUCAUUUAAAACUCACAAAUAUAACAGCGUAGGCACAUUGUGUAAAAUCGAGAAGCUUUAGACACAGAGAUGAUCUCUUCCUACUCAUCUUUCAUCUCUUUUGCAUUGAUUUUAUUGCACUAUAAAGGGUUUAGCACACAUUUGCUUAUUACACCUGUGAAGUGGCAUGGGAUAUAUCUGAGAGCGACUGGCCGCAACUCAUAAGUUCUUUUUUGGCUUCCUCUGUUUAUUUUUUAUACCAUGUGUAAACACACUUUUACUUGAAGAUGUAUUAAAGUCAGUCCUUUAUCUUAAAGUCACACACUGAUUUCUCU